ensembl:lncRNA
AGAGGCAGAGGAAAACAUGAACUGUUGUGGUAACUGACAGUUUUUCUUCUUUUUAUGUAGUUACAGUAAAAAUUCGUACUGGGUAUGUAAAAUGAGAUGCUUCACAAAUAUGAAUACCUUGAGAAGAAAUAUACUGCUGCAAAUGAGAGCUAGUAGGAUACGAAAAAUGGCGCCCCCUUAACAUGUGGUAAUUCUGUGUAAACCACAUUGUUACUCGUUAUUCUUUCUUCACUUUUCAUCGGCAGGGAAAGGUCCUGGCCGGUUUGAGCUGAUGGAUUAAGGACUGGCCUUUUCGUUGUAACAGUGGUCUUCCCCUUGUUAACUGGGCCUGUAAAAUUAGAUUGCGGCCGAAGACUAUUCCUGAAGAGUUUUUAUAGUGAUGAGUAAGAUGAUUUUCCACUGCUAUUCUUACCUGAAAAAUUAGCACUUGGUGUGAAGUCUGCCCUUUUCCUGUUUUCACUACUGCCAGUAAAUGCUGAUGCUCUGGCUGCGCAUAAGUAGAGACCCAAACCUGUCAUAAAUGACAGUUAGUCUUUUAGUCCUCUAUUGCUUUGAGGAUAAAGAUUUAAAGCAUAGUCAGUUUCUGUGUUACGUUGAUUUUACUGUCAUCUCAAUUUUUUUUUUUUUUUUUUUUUGGUCUUUUUUUGCCUUUUCUAGGGCUGCUCCAGCAGCAUAUGGAGGUUCCCAGGCUAGGGGUCCAAUCAGAGCUGUAGCCACCAGCCUACACCAGAGCCACAGCAAGGCCAGAUCCGAGGCACGUCUGCAAUCUACACCACAGCUCACGGCAACGCCGGAUCCUUAACCCACGGAGCAAGGCCAGGGAUCGAACCCUCAACCUCAUGGUUCCUAGUCGGAUUCGUGAACCACUGCGCCACGACGGGACCUCCAGAGCACAUACUUUUAUUCUUAGUGUUAGUCAUUGCCUUGUAACAGUCUUGGGAAGACUUGUAACAGACUUGAAGCUAAAUCAGGAUCCAUGGUUUAGCGAUUUUUAACUGUGGCUGUGGCGUUAGCACCUGGAUCCUAGAGCUUAUGUACUUUGCGAAGAUGCUGGAUCCCUCCUCAUAGCUGUGAGGGUGGGGUGGCUCUUCAGGUUUCGCAUUUCUGUGCACACCGCUGCUGCGGUUCACGGAGGGGAAGGACCCUCAUGUUGCUCUGUUACAUUCUCUAAAUGCCUCAUGCAGUUAGAACAGAGCGCCCCAGGGUUGCUGAACAUAAAGCAGUAAAUAAUCUGUUUUUUAGUUGAAAGGCGUUCCCCCUGUGGUCCAAUGGAAUUGGCAGCGUCUCUGCAGCACCAGGAUGCGGAUUCAAUCCCCAGCCCCGCACAGUGGCUUAAAGGAUCUGGCAUUGCCAAAGCUUCGGUGUAAGUCACAACUGUGGCUCGGAUGCGAUCCCUGGCCCAGGAACUCCCUAUGCCCAGGGGCAGCCAAAAAAUUUAAAAAAAAAUUAAAUUUGGGAUAUAUGCAUCCAUCAGGUUGUAUGCGCUGAUUUUUCUGUUGCAGAUGAAAGUUGGCCUCACUGAAAUUUCAAGAUGAAAGUAUAUAGAGCUAAGACUGCACUGUAAAUCAAUAGCUACGUGAACUUAAAAUAUAUUCAACAUAUUUAUGUUAAACUAUAUUACGUUAGUAUAUGUUGUGUUAAAUUAUAUCACAAAGUAUAGCUCUUGACCCUGUGACGGCGGGUUAUGAACAGCUGACUGCGGAGGGAGCACGCUCCUUAACCCUGGUGAACCUGCAUUUUCUCUGGGUUUUCACGAUUUCUACAUUGGUUGCAAUAUCUAGCCUUAAAUAGUAUCACAGACAUGGCGAAUGAUUAAAACCAUUGAAUUGUACACUUGACAUGAGUGAAUUGUACAAUAUGUGAAGUGAAUUACAUCUCAGUAGUGCUGUUAAAAAAUAUUACAAAAUUGCAAAAGUUUCAAAAAUAAAUGAAACAGGUGAUCAGUUACAGUACAAAGUAAGCCAUACAAACCUCUUCGCUUUUGGAAUUCUAGCUGAAACUGUCGUAAUUUCUUAGAAUUAUUGUUCCAACAUAAAUUUGGAGGCAUUUACAUUUUAAAGAAUAUUUAAUGGAAGGGGAGGGCUUAUGAAUGUAGAAAGAAACUAGGUAAAUAUUUUCUCAUUAAACCUAAUGUUCAUUUAAACAUUAAUCUUCCAUUGGCUAAAUGAACAAAUAGACAUUGUGCCUCAAAGAUAUAAAUAGGAGUUCCCAUUGUGGCGAAGUGGAAACGAAUCUGACUAGGAACCACGAAGUUGCAGGUUCGAUCCUGGCCUCGCUCAGUGGGUUAUGGAUCCAGCAUUGCUGUGAGCUGUGGUGUAGGCCGGUGGCUUCAGCUGCCAUUAGAUUCCUAGCCUGGGAACCUCCAUGUGCCAAGGGUGCAGCCCUAAAAUGAU